CUUGGUCAUUUAGAGGAAGUAAAAGUCGUAACAAGGUUUCCGUAGGUGAACCUGCGGAAGGAUCAUUCAUAAUAAGUGUUUUAUGGCACUUUUUAAAUCCAUAUCCACCUUGUGUGCAAUGUCAGUUGUUCUCUUUUUUGAGAAUGACCAAACAUCAACUUAUUCUUUAACUCUUUGUCUGAAAAAUAUUAUGAAUAAAAUAAUUCAAAAUACAACUUUCAACAACGGAUCUCUUGGCUCUCGCAUCGAUGAAGAACGCAGCGAAAUGCGAUACGUAAUGUGAAUUGCAGAAUUCAGUGAAUCAUCGAAUCUUUGAACGCAUAUUGCGCUCUUUGGUAUUCCGAAGAGCAUGCUUGUUUGAGUAUCAGUAAACACCUCAAAAGAUUUUCUUUAUUGAAAUGAUUUUGGACUUGAGCAAUCCCAACACCAGUCUUCACGGAUCGGCGGAGGGUUGCUUGAAAUGCAGGUGCAGCUGGACAUUCUCCUGAGCUAAAAGCAUAUCUAUUUAGUCCCGUCAAACGGAUUAUUACUUUUGCUGCAGCUAACAUAAAGGGAGUUUGACCAUUUUGGCUGACUGAUGCAGGAUUUCACAAGGGUCGGUAAAACGAUUUUUGUAAAACUCGAUCUCAAAUCAAGUAAGACUACCCGCUUUACUUAAGCAUAUCAAUAAGCGGAGGA
rnacentral:rRNA from 1 species